GAUGAACGCCGGCGGCGUGCCUAAUACAUGCAAGUCGAGCGAACGGACGAGAAGCUUGCUUCUCUGAUGUUAGCGGCGGACGGGUGAGUAACACGUGGAUAACCUACCUAUAAGACUGGGAUAACUUCGGGAAACCGGAGCUAAUACCGGAUAAUAUUUUGAACCGCAUGGUUCAAAAGUGAAAGACGGUCUUGCUGUCACUUAUAGAUGGAUCCGCGCUGCAUUAGCUAGUUGGUAAGGUAACGGCUUACCAAGGCAACGAUGCAUAGCCGACCUGAGAGGGUGAUCGGCCACACUGGAACUGAGACACGGUCCAGACUCCUACGGGAGGCAGCAGUAGGGAAUCUUCCGCAAUGGGCGAAAGCCUGACGGAGCAACGCCGCGUGAGUGAUGAAGGUCUUCGGAUCGUAAAACUCUGUUAUUAGGGAAGAACAUAUGUGUAAGUAACUGUGCACAUCUUGACGGUACCUAAACAGAAAGCCACGGCUAACUACGUG
rnacentral:rRNA from 1 species